AGUGAACGCUGGCGGCAGGCCUAACACAUGCAAGUCGAGCGGCAGCGCGGGGGCAACCCUGGCGGCGAGCGGCGGACGGGUGAGGAAUUCGUCGGAAUCUGCCUUUUUGUGGGGGAUAACGUAGGGAAACUUACGCUAAUACCGCAUACGUCCUACGGGAGAAAGUGGGGGACCGCAAGGCCUCACGCAGAAAGAUGAGCCGACGACCGAUUAGCUAGUUGGUGGGGUAAAGGCCCACCAAGGCGACGAUCGGUAGCUGGUCUGAGAGGAUGAUCAGCCACACUGGGACUGAGACACGGCCCAGACUCCUACGGGAGGCAGCAGUGGGGAAUAUUGGACAAUGGGCGCAAGCCUGAUCCAGCCAUACCGCGUGUGUGAAGAAGGCCUUCGGGUUGUAAAGCACUUUUGUCCGGAAAGAAAUCCCUGGAGCUAAUACCUUCGGGGGAUGACGGUACCGGAAGAAUAAGCACCGGCUAACUUCGUG
rnacentral:rRNA from 1 species